AUGCAGUUACAGCUCGAGGAUGAAAGGAUAAGAAAGAAGAAGUGUGAUUUCCAGAGGAGAAAGGAGUUGGAACGGCGUCAAAAGGCUCCUUGUGUGCAACAAAGUGAUGGGGAUGUUGCUCAAGCUCCUAAAGGUGUAGGUGAUGAAGGUGGUGACACAGCCUUUUCAACUGUUGAUGCUAGAUCUCAUGGAAGUGACAUGCAUGUGAAGACAAACCUGAUGCAAACUCAUUUGAUGCAAGUGUUUACUUGUGAUGCAGUUAAGGAGAAGAAAGCUGUUUUGAAGAGGAAGAUGUUAGAUCGAAAUGCUGAUGGCACACAGAGGCGUAGCCCACGUGUGAAAGCUGGUUCCCAACCUGGUAAUAGCAAAGCUGAUAAGGAUAGUGUUGUGUGA
rnacentral:rRNA from 1 species